GAGCAUAUUCUCCAUAUUCUUCCUCAUACAUCCAGUUACCCAUUUUCAGCUUAUCUAUAACCAGAUACACCAACCCAAUUCAAAAAGGAACAAUCUUGAUCAACCCCAAGUCGAGAAAACAUCAAUCAUGGCAACCUCUGAGAUUUUGCAGACCGAACAAGAUCUUCUCAUGAUGUCUUCCCUUUUUGAUGAUUCCAAAGGACAAAAUGUGAAGUCCCGAGGGUUUGACAUCGAGAAAAAGAUCGAGUUUCUUGAAAGCUUGGCUGGAAAAGUCAGCAACAGAAGAACUCGCAGAUGGUUGAACGAUCGUCUUUUAAUGGAACUUGUUCCUCGUUUAAAUGCAGAAGAAAUUAGGGGCUUGUUUGCCCCACCACCUUUUGGUGAUGAUGUGCCACUCUCAGUAUUUUGCAUGACAAAUGUGGAGGAAUGGGACAAAUUCAGGAAUAUAGACAUGGAUAAAGAGGCUUCCAUGAUGGAUGCUCUUGAAGGCAAAACAUCAAAGCGAAAGAGUUGUGUGGAUAAUGAUAAGGUUGCAGUGUUGACUGCAUGGCAUAGAGUGGAUUGUCGAACAAGAGAUGCAAUUAGGCGCAACUUUCUUCCUGAAUUGGUCAACAACUAUGAGCAAUGUAUACGAGCAUUUGUGAAGGAGAGUGAUCGAGAUGUGCUGGUGAUACGUGUUCAAGACCCCUUCCAGCGAUUAUUGCUGCAUGGUGUUUGUGAGUUCUACAACCUGAUAUCUGUAACAACCUCCGAAACAGAAGGUAACAAGGCUGUGAAAAUGACUAGGAUAACGAAGAAGAAAGCUGGUUCAACUGAUCUUCCAAACAUAACACUCUGCGACUUUCUGAAGAUGGCAAAAGAAGGGAGUUGGUGAUACAUUUUGCCAGUAUGUGGCUGUUGUAUAAUUACUAUGUUGUUCAUUAUUUCAAUUUACUCAUUAACAUCAAAUAUGGUUGUUCCCUCAGCUAUCCCGGCGUCUGUACUAAUAAAUCAAUGACUGAAUUGGGAAAUGUCUUAUUUCUAGGUGCUCUUGUUAGGCCAAGGAUGGUUGUAAAAGGGAAUCCAAAUUUCCUUUGUAUAUAUUUC
rnacentral:misc_RNA from 1 species